CUUUCUGGCCAUAUCAUCCUGAAAGAACCCAAUCUCAUCUGAUCUCAGAAGCUAAGUGGGUCCAAGCCUAGUUAGUAAUUUGAUGAAAGACCACCUAGGAAUAAUAGGUGACAUAGGCU
rnacentral:rRNA from 1 species